UACGGAGGGUGCAAACGUUGCUCGGAAUCAUUGGGCGUAAAGGGCUCGUAGGCGGUUUGUCGCGUCGGGAGUGAAAACUCAGGGCUUAACCCUGAGCCUGCUUCCGAUACGGGCAGACUAGAGGUAUGCAGGGGAGAACGGAAUUCCUGGUGUAGCGGUGAAAUGCGCAGAUAUCAGGAGGAACACCGGUGGCGAAGGCGGUUCUCUGGGCAUUACCUGACGCUGAGGAGCGAAAGUGUGGGGAGCGAACAGG
rnacentral:rRNA from 1 species